rnacentral:rRNA from 1 species
AGAGUUUGAUCCUGGCUCAGGACGAACGCUGGCGGCGCGCUUAAUACAUGCAAGUCGAGCGAGAACCAGGGCUUCGGCCCUGGGGACAGCGGCGAACGGGUGAGUAACACGUGGGUAAUCAACCCCCGACACCGGGAUAGCCCAGGGAAACUUGGAUUAAUACCGGAUGCCCCAUCUGGCUUUCGAGCCGGCUGGAAAAGGGUAGCUUCGGCCUCCGGUCGGGGACGAGCCCGCGGCGGAUUAGCUUGUUGGUGAGGUAAAGGCUCACCAAGGCGACGAUCCGUAGCUGGUCUGAGAGGACGAUCAGCCACACUGGGACUGAGACACGGCCCAGACUCCUACGGGAGGCAGCAGUAGGGAAUCUUGCGCAAUGGGCGAAAGCCUGACGCAGCGACGCCGCGUGAGGGAAGAAGGCCUUCGGGUUGUAAACCUCUUUCAGGAGGGACGAAGCCACUCGGGUUAAUAGCCCAGAGGGUGACGGUACCUCCAGAAGAAGCCCCGGCUAACUACGUGCCAGCAGCCGCGGUAAUACGUAGGGGGCAAGCGUUGUCCGGAUUUAUUGGGCGUAAAGAGCGUGUAGGCGGCCAGACAGGUCAGCUGUGAAAACUCGAGGCUCAACCUCGAGACGUCGGUUGAAACCGUCUGGCUAGAGUCCGGAAGAGGAGAGUGGAAUUCCCGGUGUAGCGGUGAAAUGCGCAGAUAUCGGGAAGAACACCCGUGGCGAAGGCGGCUCUCUGGGACGGUACUGACGCUGAGACGCGAAAGCGUGGGGAGCGAACAGGAUUAGAUACCCUGGUAGUCCACGCCGUAAACGAUGGGCACUAGGUGUGGCGGGUAUCGACUCCCGCUGUGCCGAAGCUAACGCAUUAAGUGCCCCGCCUGGGGAGUACGGCCGCAAGGCUAAAACUCAAAGGAAUUGACGG